CAUGGCUUAAUCAAUCUAAGAGUUCAGCUACUCAUAACUAAACAAUCAAAUACAUAGAAAAUAGUGAACAUACAUAAACCAGAACCAACUAUGAGUUUGGUGAGAUCCAAUGCGUGUUCUUUAGCUUCCUGGUGUCUUCUAUGCUCUGUUUUUGUCUCCAAAAUCGCCCCCCUCUCCUUCUGAUCGCAUUUUGCUUUUAUAGACAAAGAAUUAGGGUUUCAGAAAAGCCCAAAAUCGUGCCACGUUUCGAGACCAUCGUGGCACGAUUUGCUCAUUAAUCCUACGUGGCAGCAAAUUUACUCAACCAUCGUGGCACGUUAUACGUCCAUCGUGCCACGAUUUUUCCAGAAUCUUCAGGUAAAUUCCACGCUUCAAACGUGCCACGAUUCAGGUCCAUCGUGGCACGAUUUCUCCAGUAAAUUCUUGCAUUCUUCUUCAAUUUGUGCAAACUUCUCUGUUAUGAAUC
rnacentral:lncRNA from 1 species